CUACUGAAAGAGUGAGGAAGGAUAAAGACAAUGGCAAAUGCAAUUUCCUUGGCAAAUUAAGGCAUUGGAGGCACAAAUGCGAGGAUUAUCUUGAAUUCAUGAAAGGGAAGAAACAAAAAGAAGCUUCCACAUCAGGAACCAAUAACAAAGAGCAGUAAAGAAUAGGACCAUGAAGGCGACAACCUUUGUUGAUGGUGAUCAAGCUUGUUAGCCUAGAUUAGAUUAUGAAACAA